rnacentral:lncRNA from 1 species
GCUGGCACAGCUCGGCGUGGCUCGGCUUGGCUCGCAGGGCACAGCACAGUGCUGCUGGCACAGCUCGGAACGGCACGGCGUGGCUCAGGCAGUGAGGUUUCUCAUGGCAUGGCAUGGCAUGGCAUGGCAUGGCAUGGCAUGGCACAGCUUGGCUGCCACAACACAGCUCAGCUAUGCACAGCCCAGCACAGCUUGCCAUGGCACGGCACAACUUGGCACCCCGUCCCUGCAGGAUGACCCUUCUGGCACCCCGCCUGGGUGCACGCCCAGCACACGGUGAAGGUGCUGCCAGGUCAGCAGUGUCGCCCAAACCUGAGUUGCCAACACACUUUGCAUGUGUACAUAUUGAUUUUGCACAUAAUGUAAUCACCAGCAUUAAAAUUCCUUUUAUCAGCAGCAGCACUUGGCUGUGGCAAAGUGUUUUCUGCUAUUGCAGGAAUGGGCACGUGGGCACUGGAUGUUGCAUGCCAUCACCUGCCCUUGGGGUUCACCUGCAGUGGGGAACCAACCCCACAAAAAGUGCCAUUUCCUUACACUGCAACCCGCAACACUCAUUGCUUUCAGUGGUUUUCCACUCUGUUUGGUUUAUACUCUUAAACAUUUCCCAGUAUCACUGCAGCCUCCCAUGGGCUCCAUCUGGGAGAGAGGAGUUGGGAGAGUCUGAGUUCACAGUGCAUGGAGGUGGUGAUGCUGGAGCACAGAACCACCUCUGGGUUCGGAGUCCCCGCUGCAGGGAGAGAGGCAGAGAGUUGCAAUGAAACACACCACCCCCUGGCAGAUGCUUUAUGUUCCAACAGUGCUGCCAUUACUGAGCCCAUGGGGCCGCCCCUCACAGUGUGCUCUGGGCUCUGGGAAGUGGCUCUGCUGGGUCUACCAUGACCAGCGUAGCCAUGGCAUGGCCUGACACCGCUUCUCCCCUGCUAUCAGUCACCCUGACUGCUGGACUACCUAUGUCCCCUUUUUGGGGGCUUUUCUUCUCUCCCCCUCAAAGCUGACCUCAAGACUGAUUCAAUCCGGGCAGCGCUGAUGCAGGAGGAGAGGCCUCUGUUCAAAGGAGCCAUUCAAAUCCGAAGGAAAGAGGAAAAAAAAGUCUAUCCUCAAAUGAAUUCAAGUUGUGUGCCAACAACACAGCAUUAACAAAAUAAAAUCACGCUCCUAUAACAGUAAGAGUGCAAAAUGUAGACCAUGGCCAAUGCGUUGUGUAGCCCUUGGUGCUUUUAUGCUCUUAUUUUUGUUGGGUUUUGCUCCUAUAUCAGUAAGAGCACAAAAUGUGGUCCAUGGUCAACGCAUUGCAUAGCCCUCAGUGCUCUUAUUCCCUAUGUUUGGUCUUUUGGGUUUUCUCUUCUACCAGUAAGAGCACCAAGCAUGGACCAUGGCCAGCAUGUGGUGUAGACCUUGGUGCUCUUAUUCUCUAUUUUUGGUCUUUUGGCUUUCUCCUGUAUCAGUAAGAGCACAAAGCAUAGACCAUGGCCAAUGCGUUGCGUAGCCCUUGGUGCUUUCAUUCUCUAUCUUUGGUCUUUUGGGUUUUCUGCUCUACCAUUAGCAGCACCAAGCAUAGACCACGGCCAACGCAUUGCGUAGCCCUUGGUGCUCUUCUCUACUUCUGGUCUUUUGGGUUUUCUCCUGUACCAGUAAGAGCACAAGACGUGCUCCAUGACCAACACAACCACGUGGCCUUUGGUGCUCUUCUUCCCUAUUUUCUGUCUCCUGGGUUUGCCAGGUCCCACCCCGGCUCCAGGGAAGCCACACUCUGCCCAUGGCCCCACGGCCGCUCCCCGGCUCCGCGCCGCUCCGAUCGCUGCAGAACAAAUGCAUAAAAAUGAUCUUAUUUAUUACAGGAGACAUGUUUUAAAACAACUGACAAAACUGCAAGAUGUAAAACGACAAGCGAGCGCUUUUUCUUUUUUAAACCCAUAUAGACUUCUGGCAAUGAUAAAAAUAGUGUUUUCCUUUUUAAAGUUGGAAUUAAUCUUUCUUUCGAAAGCAAUCAUGUAGCGGGAGAGGCAGGGAGACGCUCAGAUAUUAACUGGUGCUCGCUGGGUGAUGGUUACUUAUGGGAGAGCCGGUGGCCGCUUUCCUCUGCAGAGCAAUUCACAUUAAAGCACGGCGCGAACAUUAAAGGAAGAAGGAUGAAUGGCGCGAGGGGGAGGAGAGCAUCACCCACUUAUCAAAGCGCUGCUGUGCUGAGGGAUGGGCAGCAGAUCAAAACGCACAGCGUGGCCGACGCCGGGGCACCGUGACAUCACUUCAGACCUCUUUCACUGUUUGCCUUCCCAGCGCUCCACACAGAGCCACGCAACGCUGCUGGGUCAGCCUGGGUUGACCUGGCCUCUGUUUGCACUGCAGCGGUUGAGCGGUGCCUCAGUUUCCCCAUCUGAAGGACUGAGCGGAGCCCCCCCAGCAUUCAGCAUCGCAGCCCUUUGGGGGUGAGGGACCCCUCCCCAUAUCCCAUAGGGCUGCCUCUGCGGGCGCGUCCGGCCCUCAGCAUCACCCAUACCUCUGUUUUUAGUUCUUUGCCAGUGUCAGUUAAUUAAACUAUGCAAAUUAAAACAACUUAAUUUAUAUAAUAUCAGUGCCGGAGCCUCAAACCAUUUGGUGCAGCUCAUCUGGCACGUACGGUACAUAAAAUGUUUGGAGCGGCUCUAAUAAAAAUGAAAAAGGCUGUAAAUCAAGUUUAAUUUAUUCAUUUUCUGUACGGUAUUAAAGCAUGCCAAAAUCAGAUUAUUUAUGAGCCCUUCAUAACAAUAGGCAUUUUUAUUGGUUGCAAAUGACAAAAGGGUUUCUCAGAGGGAUUUUUUUCCUUUAAAUUUUUUGAAUGCCUUUUCAGAAACAUUUAUUUUUUUGGCCGCUGUGAUCUCAAAGAAAAAUAUUUAAUCAUUGAUACAGUAAAAAUAAUUUAUAUUUAGAUGCUGAGAAACACACCAGGCUUUCAGACAUAAAUACACACAG